rnacentral:pre_miRNA from 1 species
ACGGUGUUAUCAAGUGUAACAGCAACUCCAUGUGGAAUAAGCCUCUUUCCAGUGGAGGUGGUGUUACUUUUGAAAGCCACUGAC